AUACGGAGGAUGCGAGCGUUAUCCGGAUUUAUUGGGUUUAAAGGGAGCGUAGGUGGGAUAUUAAGUCAGCUGUGAAAGUUUGGGGCUCAACCUUAAAAUUGCAGUUGAUACUGGUUUCCUUGAGUACGGUACAGGUGGGCGGAAUUCGUGGUGUAGUGGUGAAAUGCUUAGAUAUCACGAAGAACUCCGAUCGCGAAGGCAGCUCACCGGGCCGGAACUGACACUGAUGCUCGAAAGUGCGGGUAUCAAACAGGAUUAGAUACCCUGGUAGUCCGCACAGUAAACGAUGAAUACUCGCUGUUUGCGAUACACGGUAAGCGGCCAAGCGAAAGCGUUAAGUAUUCCACCUGGGGAGUACGCCGGCAACGGUGAAACUCAAAGGAAUUGACGGGG
rnacentral:rRNA from 1 species